rnacentral:rRNA from 1 species
AGAGUUUGAUCAUGGCUCAGAUUGAACGCUGGCGGCAGGCCUAACACAUGCAAGUCGGGCGGUAACAGGGAGAAGCUUGCUUCUCCGCUGACGAGCGGCGGACGGGUGAGUAAUGUAUGGGGAUCUGCCUGAUGGCGGGGGAUAACUACUGGAAACGGUAGCUAAUACCGCAUAAUCUCUAAGGAGCAAAGCAGGGGAACUUCGGUCCUUGCGCUAUCGGAUGAACCCAUAUGGGAUUAGCUAGUUGGUGAGGUAAUGGCUCACCAAGGCGACGAUCCCUAGCUGGUCUGAGAGGAUGAUCAGCCACACUGGGACUGAGACACGGCCCAGACUCCUACGGGAGGCAGCAGUGGGGAAUAUUGCACAAUGGGCGCAAGCCUGAUGCAGCCAUGCCGCGUGUAUGAAGAAGGCCUUAGGGUUGUAAAGUACUUUCAGUCGGGAGGAAGGUGUCAAGGUUAAUAACCUUGGCAAUUGACGUUACCGACAGAAGAAGCACCGGCUAACUCCGUGCCAGCAGCCGCGGUAAUUC